rnacentral:lncRNA from 1 species
AAGGCAGCUUCACCAUUUUUUUUUUUUUUUUGAGACAGAGUCUGGCUCUAUCGUCCAGGCUGGAGUGCAGUGGCACGAUCUUGGCUCACUGCAACCUGCACCUCCUGGGCUCGGGUGAUCCUCCUGCCUCAGCCACCUGAGUAGCUGGGAUCACAGGACCAGGAAGCCUGGGACUUGGUGGGAACCUGACAAAUCGGAACCUGACGACCGGAACUCCACCACCGGAACUCCACCACGGGAACUCUUUCAGAAGCGAGGGGUCCAUUGGUUAAAAAGAUCCAGGACUAACAUCCACCUCAGCAUACCUUACCAUAAAUGGUCAGCUUCGAAGCCCUCCAAUCAGACUCUGACAAGCCAACAUUCCUAAAUCCUUUCCCUUGCCCUCUGAUCCCUAAAACUUGCUGCAGACCCCAAACUGGGGAGACAGUUUGGGACCCUGUUCUCCUUGCUGUCUGGCUUUGCAAUAAAGCCUUUUUUUUCUCAAGCGC